UUUAUGGAAUUAUCAUUUAAGCUUAAAUAUAUAAUUUAAAUACUACAAUCUAGACAUUUAAGAAUAAAAACUUUCUCAUCAUAAUAUAAGAAAUAACGUGUCCCCUAUAAAGUCUUGACCCCACCAAUCAAUGAAAUUAAUUAUUCAGUUUUUUUAACGUUUUAUUCUUCAUAUUUAUAGGUUUUGAUUGUAGGAAGUUAAUUCCUUUUAUUUUAAUUAUAAGUGGAGGAAGUGAAAGGUUUUGAAAGAAAUUAACUUCUAAUUUCUACUAUAAAUAUAUAGCAUUUGAUAGCUUAUAAUCCACACAUUUCUAUCUUUUUCUCAUUACAUUCUUUGUUGAACAUUUUGCAGAGAUUUGAUCAAAUUUUAGGUAUACUUUUGCCUUGAGAAAGCUUCAAAAGUAACAGUUCUGCACCAAGAUAUGAAUCCACAACCUGUUGGUUUGAAAAAAUAGAUAUUAUCAUAUGGGAAGACAUAAUUUAGUUGGAGAUUUGCGGCUAUUCAGUUUUACCUUACUUAACUCGUAGAAUUAUUGCAUCACCGAUUACUCAGUAUGCAUGAAAUUAUAAACAAUUCAAGAUAUUGACAGACUGGUUUACCUCUCUUGCUUUCA